CACCCACUCUCCAAUCAGUCCUGAUGAGAUGAACUGGGUACCUCAUUUGGAAAUGCAGAAAUCACUGCCUUCUGCGUUGAGCUUGCUGGGAGAUGCAGACCAGAGCUGUUCUUAUUUGGCCAUCUUGCCAGCACCCCUCCCCCCCCCACCUAAUUCUUAAUUUUCUUGUAAGGAGUCCUAAAUUCAAUUUUGACGUUUUACUUAUUUUCAACUUCUAUUGUAGAACAAUUGAAACAUAUACAAAAAUAGAGAGAGUAAUAUAAUCAACACGUAUUCAUCACAAGCCUUGAAAAUUAACAUCCCAUGGUCAGUCUUGUUCCAUCUUGCCUUUCAUUCCCUUCCUGUCCCAGCUCUGAAUUAUUUUGAAGCAAAUUCCAGUAAUCACAUUAUUUCAUCCUUUACUUCUUUUAAAAAUAUGACAGAAGUUUUUGACAAAAGAAUCUUGAUGUGGGGAAAUUUAAUGAUAACACUUUUAACAUGACAGUUUUUAAAAAUUAUGACAUUUGAUUUAUAUUUUAUUCAAUUUUAUGGAAAAUAAUUAUGCAAAGUAUCUUUUUAUUAUAAGAAUCAAUCCUGCAUGUAGAAGUCCCGACUAAUAUCAAAGAACACAGUAAUCAGUCUUGUCCAUCUUGUUCAAACAUUGAGAGCUAGCUAACAGGAAUAAGAUAUAUAAGGAAUACAAAUGUUGACCAGGUGUCUUAGCUAAAGAACAUUUUCUACUCUGCUUAUCUAACUCAUGUAUUUAUAUUUUCCCAAUCCAAUUUCUUAGCAACACAUUUGCAGAAUUUAUUUGACUCCAGAAUGGCUACUGGAUUAUUGAGAUUUCCUGAAGUGAAUAGUUUUGUAGAGCUUUGGAUAAAAUUAGAACAAUAGAGUCAUAUGAAAGGGGGAAGAAUAUGUUGUUGGCAAAAUUCACAUUUCUUCUCAUCUACUCUCUCCUGAUAUCAGACUUCCUCUUCCUGUGAUGAAACUGAGGUUCGUUUUGACACUCCUAAGAAAUUAAGAAUGGAGGGCAGAAGGGAUUUGUGCUCUCCUCCUGGUUGCUGUGAUGAGACAGAUGUGGAACAUUUCAUUUUCCUGGACUGUGUAGACUUCAGCUGUCAUCUCUACUGAGUAAGUCAGCCUACAAGGCAACUCCGUUCAGGUCUUUUGUUAUUUUUAUUUUUUGUAAUAGUGAGAAAAAAAUGAUGGAUAUAAGGAGAAACAUGCAUUUCUAAACCCCAAUGAGGAGAGAUUCUCAGGUAGAGGGCUACAUGAUGAGGGGAACCAGAAGUGGCCAGGCCGGAGGAAGGAGCCACACUGUUGGCUAAAUCUGAGAGGGAGGUAAGCCAGUGGUCUGGGGGCUCCAAGAGUAGCAGAAAUCUCUGCUGACUUCCUCCCCCUUAUCUUCCUAGGGAGGUAGGACCCAAGGUGCUAGGUUCCCACCUCAGCAGAACCUCCACCCACCUUUCAGCCCUGAAGCCAUCAUGUGACUCGUACUAGGAAAGUCCACCUGUGAUGAUGAUGACCAGUGAGGGCUAAACACCAGGGGUCUCCCAAAUGUUCUCAGCCAUAUACGAAUUUCAGGCUCUACACUGGACCUGGAUGAUGAGGGGUGAUGGAGCCCCAAUAAUAACCACAGUUGAUUUUUCCACACCCCGUUGAUCAGAUUAAAUAUAAUUUAGAAAAAUAACCAAUGUGGCAUUUUUUUAAACCUGAGAUGUAAAAUAAAAUCCAUGACAGCUGUACUGUAUACUUUGCCUAAUUUACUUUCUCAGAGGUUUGGAAGGAAUGCUCAGAAAUAUUUAGAGGAGUUUCUUUCAGUGAGAUUACUUAUAUUUAUGAUAUUGAAGAUGUCUUUUUUCAAAGUGUUACGUACUAAAUUUCAUCUCCCACAGCCCCCUUCCCAAAUUCAUGUAUUGAAGCCCCCAUCCCCAUUGUGACUGUAUUUGGAGACAGGGCCUUCAAAGAGGGAAUUUAGGUUACAGAAGGCCCUAAGGGUAGAGCCCCAAUUCAGUAUGAACUGUCAUUGUAAGAGGAGGAAGAAACACCAGAGAUUCACUUGCCCAGAGAAAAGGCCAUGUGAGGACAGAGUGAGAAGCUGGUCAUUUGCAAGGAGAGAAGCGUUAGGAGAAACCAAACCUGCUGACACCUUGAUCUUGGACUUCUAGCCCCUAGAACCGUGAGAAAAUACAUUUCUGUGGAUUAAGCCACCCAGUCUGUGGUACUUUAUUAUGGCAACCCUAGCAGACUAAGACACAGUAUUUAACACUUUCAUGUAUAGGUCUUUAUUCUCUGAAAAUCUAUAAUAUUUUACUCUAGUAAAAAUUCUCUUGCUGUGUGGAAUUUAUGGGCACUCUACUAGCUAAAAUCAUUCACUUUCUGAAAAGAGUGUUGCAAAGGGCUACAGAACAUACUGGAUACCAUUGACCAAACUAAUUAGAAAACUAAUGCUGCUCAGUGACUAAAAAUAACAGGGGAGUGGGUGCAUAUGCAGGAUGGGGCCCCACUACUGGAAGUUAAAACAGCAAGUACCUUUCCCUGAUACCAUGGUAAUGCAAGCAUCAUGGUAACCUUUGUUAAAAUAAACGUGUUGGGCUCACGCCUGUAAUCCCAGCACUUUGGGAGGCUGAGGUGGGUGGAUCACUUGAGGUCAGGAGUUCGAGACCAGCCUGGCCAACAUGGUGAAACCCCAUCUCUACUAAAAAUACAAAAAUUAGCCAGGCAUGGUGGUGCACAUCUGUAAUCCCAGCUAUUCAGGAUGCUGAGGCAGGAAAAUCGCUUGAACCCAGGAGGCGGAGGUUGCAGUGAGCCGAGAUCCUGCCACUGCACUCCAGCCUGGGUGACAGAGUGAGACUCUGUCUCCAGAAAAAUAAAAAUAAAAUAAACAAAAUAAAAUAAAAUAAAAGUGCUGAAUACAUGUUAGUUUACCAGGGAGAUGAUAUUUAAUUAUAAAAGUUACUUUCUUACACCCAUAUACACCCCCGUUAUAAUUCUGCUUGAAAUCUUUAAAGAAUGAGAGUCAAUCUGCUUUAUAUUCUAGAGGCCUCUAAUAUUGCUAGUUAAAUUUCAUAUGCUGUCAAAAAAUAAGGGAAAGCAAGAAAAACACAAAGACAAGGCAUAUAUAUUACUGAACUAUAAGUUCCUAAAAAUCGGGGAUUUAUUUUUUCCUUGAGAUCAUCAAACACACUGUUUUGCACAUCAUUGGCAUUUAUGAUUGGUUUAAUGCAUUGUAACUCUGAGACAUACAGCUUAGAAAAGAAAAGCAUACAGCUAAUAUGACUGUAGAAUAAAGACUAAAUUUUGCCUACAGCAUGAGAAAUCAAUUGUAUCACUUUACAAUCAUACAUUUUAUAUGUGUAAAAAUAUACGAGUAGAUUUUAGUUUAUUACAGUAAUAUGCUAACAAAAAUCUAGAUAUUUCUAAAUAUCUAGACAUUUCCAAAUACCUAUGGUAUUAAAUAUUGUGAAGAACAGACAUAUUAUUUGUCCCAGUUGGUCACUUUUUAUGCAAUUUCCUUUUUGUAAAAAUAUCUGAUAUAUAAAAUUGCCUCCUAUGUUUAAGAACAAGUAAGAACAAACAAGAACAAAGAUUAACAGUGUCCAAAUUUUUUAAAUAGAUCAAGCUGGUAAUGUGAUAAUUUCAUUUGCAAUUUAUCAUAUGUUAGUCAUUAAAACACACACACACACAAACAUAAGUUUUACAUACCAGACACACAUAAGAUUCUACCAAAAGUCAGUGAGAGUAGAACAAAAGUAUGUGGUUCUAUGUUGUUAUGACUAAGUGCAUGGAAAACUUUCCUUCAUUAAUCUACCACUCCACCUCUCUGACACACACCACAAAGUAUCCACCGUGUGUUAAGGUAUAAUUGGAACAUAAGGGAGGGAAUAAAGAACCCGGGAGCCCGGGUGCAUAGGAGUGACCUACCCUUGAGUGCCGCCACACAAGUCCAGUGUGUCUGUGUUGGCUGAGUUUUAGCUGUGCUCUCUGCGGGUUGUGCAACCUAAUCAUAAUAACAAUAAUAACAACCAAAAGCAUUUAUUUUGUAUAGACAAAACAUAUAAUCUUGUGCUAGGUGGUUUAAUUCAUUAUGUUUAAUCCUAAGAAAAACUCAGGGCAAAAGAAAAGCAAUGUCUAACUUGGUUUCUGCUCAUAAGGAAAAGUCUAGCAAUAGGGACUUCCUUAACCAGAUGGUGUGAGGACUAGAAUUGUCAUGGUCAUGGCUAUCAUGGAUCAACUCAACCAUUACCUAAGGUGACUUCCUUGAGGUGAUUACAUCAGAACUGGACCUUAAAUGAUGACUCUAAAUUUGUUAUGAGGAGAAAUGCUGAGCACUUAGGACAGAGGGAACAGGUGUUGAAAAGGAUGUAAGCAUGAUGUAGCAUGACACAUUCAGGGAUACAGCAUGAAAUAACAUGACACAUUCAGGGGUAUAGUAUGAGAUAGCAUGACACAUUCAGGGGUAUAGUAUGAGAUAGCAUGACACAUUCAGCGAUAUAGCAUGAGAUAGCAUGACACAUUCAGGGAUAUAGCAUGAUGUUGCAUGAUGCAUUUCAGGGAUAUAGCAUGAGACGGCAUGACACAUUUCAGGGACAUAGCGUGAUGUAGAAUGACACAUUCAAGUAUAUGGCAUGAGAUAGCAUGACACAUUCAGGGUUAUAGCAUGGGACAGCAUGACACAUUCAGGGAUAUAGCAUGAGAUAGCAUGACACAAUCAGGGAUAUAGCAUGAUGUAGCAUGACACAUUCAGGGAUAUAGCAUGAGACAGCAUGACACAUUUCAGGGACAUAGCAUGAUGUAGAAUGACACAUUCAAGUAUGUGGCAUGAGAUAACAUGACACAUUCAGGGAUAUAGCAUGAGACAGCAUGACACAAUCAGGGAUAUAGCAUGAUGUAGCAUGACACAUUCAGGGAUAUAGCAUAAGAUAGCAUGACACAUUCAGGGAUAUAGCAUGAUGUUGCAUGAUGCAUUUCAGGGAUAUAGCAUGAGACAGCAUGACACAUUCCAGGGACAUAGCAUGAUGUAGAAUGACACAUUCAAGUAUAUGGCAUGAGAUAGCAUGACACAUUCAGGGUUAUAGCAUGGGACAGCAUGACACAUUCAGGGAUAUAGCAUGAGAUAGCAUGACACAAUCAGGGAUAUAGCAUGAUGUAGAAUGACACAUUCAAGUAUGUGGCAUGGGAUAGCAUGACACAUUCAGGGAUAUAGCAUGAUGUUACAUGACACAUUCAGGGAUAUAGCAUGAGACAGCAUGACACAUUUCAGGGACAUAGCAUGAUGUAGAAUGACACAUUCAAGUAUGUGGCAUGAGAUAGCAUGACACAUUCAGGGAUGUAGCAUGGGACAGCAUGACACAUUCAGGGAUAUAGCAUGAGACAGCAUGACAUUUCACGGACAUAGCAUGAUGUAGAAUGACACAUUCAAGUAUGUGGCAUGGGAUAGCAUGACACAUUCAGGGAUAUAGCAUGAUGUUACAUGACACAUUUCAGGGAUAUAGCAUGAGAUAGCAUGACACAUUCAGGGAUAUAGCAUGGGAUAGCAUGACACAUUCAGGGAUAUAGCAUGAUGUAGAAUGACACAUUCAGGGAUAUAGCAUGGGAUAGCAUGACACAUUCAGGGAUAUAGCAUAAGAUAGCAUGACACACUCAGGGAUAUAGCAUGAGAUAGCAUGACACAUUUGAGGGACAUAGCAUGAUGUGGAAUGACACAUUCAAGGAUAUAGCAUUAGAUAGCAUGACACAUUCAGGGAUAUAGCAUAAGAUAGCAUGACACAUUCAGGGAUAUAGCAUGAUGUUGCAUGACAUUUCAGGGAUAUAGUGUGAGAUAGCAUGACACAUUCAGGGUUAUAGCAUGAGAUAGCAUUACACAAUCAGGGACGAAUUCAAGCAAGCCUCAGAGUUUGUCAGAUUCCCAGUAUAUCUCUUUGUUUUUGAAAAGAGAAAACAAAAUAAACACCUCACUAAUGUAGUAUGUUUUUUAAAAAAUUUAAUCCUUUCUCUCACCUGUUUGAUGUGGUAUUAUCUUUCUCUGAGGCCUCCAGACGUUCUGGUUUGUAGGGCUGUUGGUGGGCAAACUCUUCUGUUCUGUCCCAGAAAGCCCUAGUUAAGGUUUUUAUAAAUCUGGUAUUCUUAUUUGAAAGUCUCUUACAGUCUACAUUAAAAAAAAUCAAUAUUUAUACAUAAAAAAUAAACACAAUUAGAGAUACUUUUUAUUCCUCUAUAUAGUUAAUUUAUUUUCAUUCUGUAAUUUGCACAAGUACUAAAGGAUAAUAAACUUUGGUCCCCAA